rnacentral:rRNA from 1 species
GACGAACGCUGGCGGCGUGCUUAACACAUGCAAGUCGAACGGAAAGGCCUCUUUCGGGGGGUACUCGAGUGGCGAACGGGUGAGUAACACGUGAGUAACCUGCCCUUGACUUUGGGAUAACUUCAGGAAACUGUGGCUAAUACCUGAUAGGAGCUCCUGCUGCAUGGUGGGGGUUGGACAGUUUCGGCGGUUGGGGAUGGACUCGCGGCUUAUCAGCUUGUUUGGGGGGUAGUGGCUUACCAAGGCUUUGACGGGUAGCCGGACUGAGAGGGUGACCGGCCACAUUGGGACUGAGAUAAGGCCCAGACGCCUACGGGAGGAAGCAGUGGGGAAGAUUGAAAAAUGGGUGGAAGCCUGAUGCAGCAACGCCGUGUGCGGGAUGACGGCCUUCGGGUUGUAAACCGCUUUCGCUCAUGACGAAGCUUUGUGUGACGGUAGUGGGUAAAGAAGCACCGGCUAACUACGUG